UUUGUGUUGCAAUCGGUGAAGAGUCACCACCAUGUUCUAAAUGAUGCAAAACUAACAUAGGAGUGUUGUAGACAUUUUCCAGUGAUGUUUCCAAAUUUCAUACGAAAUUGACACUUUAGACCUUACUUUAUAUCAAAUGGUGACUAAUCCAUACCGUUGGUCUGAACUAUACCACUGUGGAUGGAUCAUUAUAAAAAAUCAUUUCAGGUUGUGAGGUCCUAGAUCCAUGAAUAUAAAAGAGGUCCUAGAUUAGUUGAAUAUAGACAAUUGUGCUUUUUUAAUUGACCAUCUGUUAACCAUUUUGGAAUAUUGAGAGAGAAAAAAGAGGAAAGUUUUUUAGAAGGAUGACUAUGUCCAUAGGUAAAUACACCUGGGUUUUAUAUAUGUUAUGGACCUUUAUCCCCAAUUUUUCAGCCUUUUAUCUUUGUUUCAUGCUUUCUUUAUUUGCCCCUUACUCUUCCUUUAGUUUUUCCUUAAUAUAAGGCAUAAUAUGUAAUUUUACAUUUUCUUCUAAUAUUAUAAAUAAGAGUGGGCUGGACAUUCCAGCCCCAUAUGCUCUUUUUCUCUCAAAUUCUCUCCUGCUUCUUAACAUGGUAUUAGAGCCUAUGGGCUCCUAGGAUUUCUUUUUCUUCUUAUGCUUCUUAACAUGGCCUGAUUUUUUUUUUUUUUCCGUCCCUUACAUCUUCAAGUAUCAUACAAUUUACCAUGCAAUGCCAAGACUGUUUUCAGUUUGUAGAACUGGGGUCCAUCAUACAGGGUCAGAAUCAUUGAGAUUUGGGGCCCUACUAUAGCAAAUAUCUCCAGUUUCUAUUUCCACAUUUAUUUAUUGCUUUACAAAUAGGCUUUAGUUCAAAAAUAAUUUUUUUAGUUGUUAAGUAAUAAGAACUCAUGUUAGGAAGCUUUGUUAGGCCCAGUGUGUAUUCAGGUCACUUGACAUAGUUGGCAUGGAUCACUCAAGGGCUUCUUUAUCUUCACCGGUACUUGAGAUUAAGAGUCAAUCAUAGAGAUCUAAAGGCCAGCAACAUUCUUUUAGAUAGUGAAAUGAACCUGAAAAUAUCAAACUUUGGUUUGGCGAGGAUUUUCAGUGGAAAUCAAACCCAAGGAAACACUGCUAGAGUAGUGGGGACAUUGGUCUUUUCUCAGAGAAAUCCGAUGUAUUUAGCUUUGGAGUAUUAUUAUUAGAAAUCGUAAGCGGGAAGCGGAACACUGGAUUUUUGCCUAAUGAACAGUGGUCAAAUCUUCUAGGAUAUAUGCAUUGAGGUCGGAAAGCCUCAAGCUUGUGCAACCCAGCUCUCUUACAAUCCAACACAGGCCUGGAUAGAAGGUGUGCAAUAUCCAAGCUUUCCAUUAGGUGGUUCCCCACUUCUUGAUGCCACGGUCCAAAAAUCAGGCAAGUCCACUCCAUGUAAGGAUCGCCAAAAGCAAGGGCCCCACACCCUUGGCUUAUUAUUAUUAUUUUUAUUUUUCUUACCAAUCUUCAUUGCUUCAAUAUAACGAAGGGUUUCCAUAAUGUUUGACUUGUAUUAUGUAUUUAUCUUUGGUUGUAAGAUGCUUAUUCAAAGUGGAAGUAACUAUAUAGAGUGUAGGCUCAGGGGUCUACAAUGCUUACAUGGAUGCAUGAACAAAGCUGCUCAUCAGUUUUAUCCUUGAAGAAAAAGGGAAGAAAAAUCUGUCCACAUAUUUAUAUAAAAAAAUUCCAUAGCUAUUCUCCUC